rnacentral:rRNA from 1 species
CCCUUAGAUGUCCUGGGCCGCACGCGCGCUACACUGAGUGUCUGAGAUACGAGUCUGCCUGGUCCCGCAAGGUCUAGGUAAUCGCUAAAAGACACAUCAUGCUUGGGAUAGAUUAUUGCAAAUAUUAAUCUUGAACGAGGAAUUCCUAGUAAGCGCAAGUCAACAGCUUGCGUUGAUUACGUCCCUGCCCUUUGUACACACCGCCCGUCGCUACUACUGAUUGGAUGUUUAAGCGAGGUUCUCGAACUGCUAGCGACUUAGCUUCGGUGAGGUCGCAGUGUGGGAAGUGAACCUAGCUUUGGUGUCUAGAGGAAGUAAAAGUCGUAACA